AAGCUCCUUGAUGUGCUUAAUGUUGGCAGAUACCGAACCAAUCCCCUAGUGGUUCGGCUUAACUCCGAACUUUCCUCCCCAAUUUGAAGUUCGGAGUUUUUUUUGCCUGUUU
rnacentral:sRNA from 1 species